AGCUCCUCGAGUGGUGGGGAUGAUUAUUGGGCCUAAAGCGUCCGUAGCCGGCUAGGUAAGUCCUCCGUUAAAUCCAACGACCUAAUCGUUGGGCAGCGGGGGAUACUGCAGAGCUAGGGGGCGGAAGAAGCUAGCUGUACUCCUGGGGUAGGGGUGAAAUCCUAUAAUCCCAGGAGGACAACCAGUGGCGAAGGCGGUUAGCUAGAACGCGCCCGACGGUGAGGGACGAAAGCUGGGGGAGCGAUCCGGAUUAGAUACCCGAGUAGUCC
rnacentral:rRNA from 1 species